rnacentral:tRNA from 1 species
UUUUGGUACCGUCAUGCGCUGGUUCGAAUCCAGCUGGCCCAGCCAUUACAUAUGCGGGAGUAGUUCAGUGGUAGA